UUUGGAAACAGCUAUGACCAUGAUUACGCCAAGCUAUUUAGGUGACACUAUAGAAUACUCAAGCUAUGCAUCCAACGCGUUGGGAGCUCUCCCAUAUGGUCGACCUGCAGGCGGCCGCGAAUUCACUAGUGAUUCAGCGAGCUCGCGAGAGUAAGCAAAUCGCUUAAAACCGGUCUCAGUUCAGAUCGGAGUCUGCAACCCGACUCCGUGAAGUCGGAAUCGCUAGUAAUCUCGGGUCAGCAUACCGAGGUGAAUACGUUCCCGGGCCUUGUACACACCGCCCGUCACACCACGAAAGUCUACAACACCCGAAGCCGGUGGGCUAACUCGCAAGAGAGGCAGCCGUCUAAGGUGGUGUCGAUGAUUGGGGUG
rnacentral:rRNA from 1 species